GGCCCCAAGACGCACUGCAUGUUGGUAUGGUGUAGGAAGACACGAACUCAUAUAUGUAAGCUAUUGUCAUGGAUACUGAUACUCAUACUUCUACGUCCUCAAUCUCCUUGUUAAACUUUGAUAUAAUUUGACAGAGAGGAAAAGGUGAAAGUGUAACAACCUAUGACACUGGCAUUAUAAUAAGUUGAUGGAGAGAAAGUUGGUAAAAGUAUAAUGACCCAAAACCUCAUCUAGAAAGAGAAAUUCUUUAUGCAGCAUGGCGCACGCACCACCCAUAAUG
rnacentral:lncRNA from 1 species